UUAAUCUAACAAGCAGAAUAGGACUGCGUCUGUCACAUGCCAGCUAAAAGCUUGAAGUUUCAGAGUCAUUGUGAGAAGUGCUGCACAGAUCUAAGCAAUACAAGGUGGCACAUAUGUUCUGGAGCACUUAUGUAAUGUUAUUGCAAUGAGAGGAAGGGGAAACUGGUUCUUGGCCACUGUUACUCCUCCAUGGCUUUUGGCCCUGGUAGUAGAAAAGAUUUUGCGUGGUGAAAAUGGAAUAGACUUUGCCAGAGCGUGGGCCACAGCUGCCUGGAGCAGAGCCCUCCUCACGUUGGACUGAUGAGGGUGGGAAGCCAACAUUUUCGUGUAUCACCUGGGGGGCUGCAAGAGCCACCUUGCUGCUGACACUGAGGAUGACAGAAGAGAGAAGAAAUAAGCUGAGUCCUUGAAAACACCUUAAAUUUGCUGAAUCAACCGAAUCUGAAGUUCCGACCAGAGACGACCAGAGACGACCAUAUUCUUCUCAGAACAAAAUGGAUUUGCAUACACAACAGAGCCACUCAAACAGGGGAAGGAAUAAUGGGAUCAUAAAUAAUUAAGCAGAGUCAUCUGGCCACCUUUUCUCUCUCAAAUUUUAUCUUCUGUCUUCGUGGCUUCAUUCCCAGGAAACUGAUGUGGUAGAACGGGCUUGCUUUUAGGAGGAGCAACUUGGCUCUGCAUUAUGCCUUAGAGACAAAAGAAGUCAGCUUGCUUUCUUACAUUCUUUUUUCAGUUUCUAAUCAGGCUAGGUCUUAAAUAAAUGGCAGAGAGAGGGGCCCUGCAGGUGCUCACACAACCUAGCCCUGAUUACUCUGUUAGCAAUUUAUACUGAGGUAUGGGAUUGGAGUUUGAGCUCCCAUUAGGAAUGUACAGGUACUUAGGAUGCCCCCUUGUGAAUACAACACAUCAAAAACCUGGUAGAUAAUUUUAGGGAGAUCCUCUUUUCCUUUUUUUUCUUCCAGAGACAACAACUUGACAACUAGUGAGAGGAUCCUGUGUCUUAGUCAGCUUUGAGUCAAACACUGCCAAAU